GACGAACGCUGGCGGCGUGCCUAAUACAUGCAAGUCGAACGCAGUGGGGCCGGGUGAGUAACACGUGGGUAACCUCCCAUCAGAGGGGAUAACCCUUGGAAACAGGUGCAAAACCGAUACUGAUGGAUGAACCCGCGGUGCAUUAGCUAGUGGGGGAGGUAACGGCUCACCAAGGCCACGAUGCAUAGCCGACCUGAGAGGGUGAUCGGCCACACUGGGACUGAGACACGGCCCAGACUCCUACGGGAGGCAGCAGUAGGGAAUCUUCGGCAAUGGACGAAAGUCUGACCGAGCAACGCCGCGUGAGUGAAGAAGGUUUUCGGAUCGUAAAACUCUGUUGUUAGAGAAGCGGUAUCUAACCAGAAAGCCACGGCUAACUACGUGCCAGCAGCCGCGGUAAUAC
rnacentral:rRNA from 1 species